CAAUAUUAUACAACCGAAACCGAUUUUUAUUGUAUCCAUGCAAGAUCACAAAACAUCAACUCAAAAGAUUCAAAUUAUACCCGCUUUUUGUUUUUUUUACUAGUAACCACUUUAAACGCCGAAUUCCAUUCAGUACCUUGCUUUGGCUUGUUACGAACAACCUGACUCCAAGCACCACUAGAGUUACCCAACUCUGAUUGAGACUUAUUGUUAGAUUGUUGCCCAUCUUUGCCAGUUAAAUCGGCUAUACGACGGCGAGUAAACUCACUAGCAAAGCGACGUCCAUCCAUAAUAGUACUAUUAGCAUAA